UUCUUCUUGUCUAUUCAAUUUUAUUUCCUCUGCUUUUUACGAAUUUCUUCCCAAGUUCCAAGGAGAGAAAGAAAGUGAAGAAGAUGCAUCCGAUCUGAAUUUGAUUCAACCAACAAGAAGCUCUUUGACUUUGACUGGCAUUAUGAAUGAAUCAUUUGAGCCUAGUUCUUCAAGUAUACUUCUUUUUCUUGGAGUUUUGUUAGAAAAGACUAAAAAGGAGAAGGCAAGGAAGACUGCAACUUGAAAUUCAAUUCUCGAGAAACACCAUAGCAGGGUUCCUGAAGUUGUGUUUUGUAUUUAUGAGUUGCACCAAAGUUACAAGAGGGUCAUGCUACUCAUUGAUCCCUAGUGAAUUACAUAUAUCCAUUCAAGAGCAUGCUUGACAGAUGAUAAGAGUUUCUACAUAUAGGUAACCUACCAAGAGAUUGAGUACCUUUUGCAUCAAAUUGAGAUGGAGAACACUGCAGAACACGUAUUGGAGAUAAUGCAUCUUUGGACAAAGGAAUGUCUUAGGCUUAUCCGACACUAGUAGGCAAGUAAGACAUGUCAUUUUCCUUUUUAGUUAAGUGAACAAGAUUCAAACUUUUGUAUGCCUAUCAUUUAUCUGGUUUAUCCUUGGCUUUUAUGCGACCCCUUUAUACAACCAAUUCUUGUUUACCAUAAUGCUUUUUAUAUGAGCAUUAAGAUAUCAGUUGACUCUGUACUUAUUAAAAUAAGAACUAACUACAUGAUCUUAUUUGCUAUUUGUCUAUAUCAAAGAAGGGUUGCAGCCGUGGGAGGAAGUCUUGAUGUUUAAAUUUUGAUGGGUGUAUGUGAUUUUAGUGUAUUAUUGAAUGAUAUAUUUUAGAAUACAGUAUAAAGUAUGGUCAAGAAUGUAGAGGUGCCAAUAGUUAGUACCUUAUUUCUUUUAAUCCAACCUCAUAAAUUUGUCACUGAUCCCAGUGAUAUUCCAAAGACACCAAUAUAUUAGAUUGUGGUUGUGGCACUGAUUUGGAUGCAAGUUAGUCGUGGUUAAAGUUAUUCCACUAUUACUUUAUUCCAAGGCACCUAUAAUAGAGGAGACUGCAUCCUAA